rnacentral:rRNA from 1 species
GAUGAACGCUGGCGGCGUGCCUAAUACAUGCAAGUAGAACGCUGAAGGAGGAGCUUGCUCUUUCCGGAUGAGUUGCGAACGGGUGAGUAACGCGUAGGUAACCUGCCUGGUAGCGGGGGAUAACUAUUGGAAACGAUAGCUAAUACCGCAUAACAGUAGAUAUUGCAUGAUAUUUGCUUGAAAGGGGCAAUUGCUCCACUACCAGAUGGACCUGCGUUGUAUUAGCUAGUUGGUGAGGUAACGGCUCACCAAGGCGACGAUACAUAGCCGACCUGAGAGGGUGAUCGGCCACACUGGGACUGAGACACGGCCCAGACUCCUACGGGAGGCAGCAGUAGGGAAUCUUCGGCAAUGGACGGAAGUCUGACCGAGCAACGCCGCGUGAGUGAAGAAGGUUGUCGGAUCGUAAAGCUCUGUUGUAAGAGAAGAACGAGUGUGAGAGUGGAAAGUUCACACUGUGACGGUAGCUUACCAGAAAGGGACGGCUAACUACGUG